rnacentral:rRNA from 1 species
UACGAAGGGGGCUAGCGUUGUUCGGAAUUACUGGGCGUAAAGCGCGCGCAGGCGGCCAUUCAAGUCAGGGGUGAAAGCCCAGAGCUCAACUCCAGAACUGCCUUCGAUACUGGGAGCUCGAGUCCGGGAGAGGUGAGUGGAACUGCGAGUGUAGAGGUGAAAUUCGUAGAUAUUCGCAAGAACACCAGUGGCGAAGGCGGCUCACUGGCCCGGUACUGACGCUGAGGUGCGAAAGCGUGGGGAGCAAACAGG